rnacentral:rRNA from 1 species
UCUGUAGCCAUAGCGAAAGCGAGUCCUAAUAGGGCGAUUGAGUUGUGUUCAGUAGACCCGAAGCCGAGUGAUCUACUCAUGGCCAAAGUGAAUCCUGACUAAUCUCGGGAGGAGGCUUGAACCCACUAGGGAUGCAAACCUAGGGGAUGAGCUGUGAAUAGGGGUGAAAGACUAAUCAAACUCGGCGAUAGCUGGUUCUCCCCGAAAUAUAUUUAGGUAUAGCCUCGUAGGAUAAGUAAAGGAGGUAGAGCACUGGCUGGGCUAAGGGCCUUACCGGGUUCCUAACCCCAAUCAAACUCCGAAUACCUUUACUCUUUACCUACGGGAGUCAGACUGUGGGAGAUAAGUUUCACAGUCGAGAGGGAAACAGCCCAGAUCAUCAGCUAAGGUCCCAAAGAACAGGCUAAGUGGAGAAGGUUGUGGAAAUACUGAGACAACCAAGAGGUUGGCUUAGAAGCAGCCAUCCUUUAAAGAGUGCGUAACAGCUCACUGGUCAAGUGUUUCUGCGCCGAAAAUUUAACGGGGCUUAAGCCUGUCACCGAAGCUAUGGACUCCGACUUUUAAGUCGGUUUGGUAGGGGAGCAUUCUCUACGGAUUGAAGCUCUGCUGUAAAACAGGGUGGACUGUAGAGAAGAGAAGAUGCCGGCAUUAGUAGCGUUAAUUCCGACGAAAAAACGGAACACCGUAAGCCCGAGGUUUCUCCGGCAAUGUUAAUCAUCCGGAGGUUAGCCGGGACCUAAGUCGAGGUCGAAAGGCGUAGACGAUGGACAUCCAGUCAAAAUUCUGGAGCCAUCUUGCUUCCAUUUGAGCAAUGGGGUGACGUAGAAAGUAUAAUCAUCCCUGUGAAGGAUAUCAGGGUCUAAGUUUUCCGAUAGUCUCUUCAGGUAAAUCCAGAGAAUAAACUGUUGGAAGAUGAUGGGGAGCUCAAGCUACGGCAAGAGCGAACUGAUUAAAAAUUCUAUCAAGAAAAGCCUCUAGCAAGGAAGAGAGAUGCCCGUACUAUAAACCGACACAGGUGGGCGAGGAGAAUAUCCUAAGGUGUUCGAGUGAACCCUCGUUAAGGAACUCGACAAAUUGACCCCGUAACUUAGGGAUAAGGGGUGCCUCAUUGGAAUUUUAUGACGUAAGUUAUAGAAUUUGAAGAGGCCGCAGUGAAAAGGCUCAAGCGACUGUUUACUAAAAACACAUGUCCCUGCUAACUCGUAAGAGGAUGUAUAGGGACUGACGCGUGCCCGGUGCCGGAAGGUUAAGGCAAGCUGUCAUCUUGUGCAUUUAUGUAUAAGAGAAGCAGUGAACUGAAGCCCUGGUAAACGGCGGCUGUAACUAUAACAGUCCUAAGGUAGCGAAAUUCCUUGUCGGGUAAGUUCCGACGCGCAUGAAUCGCGUAACGAUUUGAGCAUUGUCUCAACGAGGGACUCGGUGAAAUUGAAUUGGGGGUGCAGAUGCCCCUUACCUGUGGCAGACGGAAAGACCCCGGAACCUUUACUGUAAUUUAGCAUUGGAUUUUAGUUCAAUAUGUAGAGCAUAGGUGGGAGGCUUUGAACUUCGGUCGCUAGGCCGGAGGGAGCCAACAGUGUAAUACCACCCUUAUUGUACCGAAGUUCUAACUCUGAUAACAAGUCGGAGAACAGUGCUUGAUGGGCAGUUUAACUGGGGCGGUUGCCUCCCAAAGAGUAACGGAGGCGUCCAAAGGUUCCCUCAGCACGGUCGGUAAUCGUGCGUAGAGUGCAAAGGCAUAAGGGAGCUUGACUGCGAGACCGACAGGUCAAGCAGGCGCGAAAGCGGGGCUUAGUGAUCCGGUGGUUGUGUGUGGAAACGCCAUCGCUCAACGGCUAAAAGGUACUCCGGGGAUAACAGGCUUAUCUGGUCCGAGAGUCCAUAUCGACGACCAGGUUUGGCACCUCGAUGUCGGCUCAUCGCAUCCUGGGGCUGAAGUAGGUCCCAAGGGUUGGUCUGUUCGUCCAUUAAAGCGGUACGCGAGCUGGGUUUAGACCGUCGUAAGACAGGUCGGUCCUUAUCUGCCACAGGCGUAGGAUAUUUGAAGGAAUCUGUCCUUAGUACGAGAGGACCAGGACAGCCGAACCUCUGGUGCACCAGUUGUUCUGCCAAGAGCAUUGCUGGGUAGCUACGUUCGGUGCGGAUAAGCGCUGAAAGCAUCUAAGUGCGAAGCCCUCCCUGAGAUUAGAUAUCCCUGAAGGCAACUCGAAGAUGACGAGUUUGAUAGAUCAGUGGUGUAAGAGUGGUAACACUUUCAGCUUACUGACACUAAUUGCCGUUCGAUUUUUUUGU